rnacentral:rRNA from 1 species
GACGAACGCUGGCGGCGUGCUUAACACAUGCAAGUCGAACGGAAAGGCCCUGCUUUUGUGGGGUGCUCGAGUGGCGAACGGGUGAGUAACACGUGAGUAACCUGCCCUUGACUUUGGGAUAACUUCAGGAAACUGGGGCUAAUACCGGAUAGGAGCUCCUGCUGCAUGGUGGGGGUUGGAAAGUUUCGGCGGUUGGGGAUGGACUCGCGGCUUAUCAGCUUGUUGGUGGGGUAGUGGCUUACCAAGGCUUUGACGGGUAGCCGGCCUGAGAGGGUGACCGGCCACAUUGGGACUGAGAUACGGCCCAGAUUCCUACGGGAGGCAGCAGUGGGGAAUAUUGCACAAUGGGCGGAAGCCUGAUGCAGCAACGCCGCGUGCGGGAUGACGGCCUUCGGGUUGUAAACCGCUUUCGCCUGCGACGAAGCGUGAGUGACGGUAAUGGGUAAAGAAGCACCGGCUAACUACGUG